GUUUUAUUUACUCAGUACAAAAUAAUUCGCUCCUUCGUGUGUUGUUGGUCUGUAAACCCCGCGCAUUUCAUACGAGGACCGUUUAUUUCAAACGAAGAGGAUCACGCAGACUGAGCUUAAGGAAAACUGCAUUGAGUCUCGAAGAGAAACUGUGAUCAUUUUCUACCUUGGUGAAAAGACAGAGGCGUUAAUCAAGGACUACAAGGUUUGUGAUGAUGAUGCUGCAGCCAUCCAAGAGGAACUCACUUCAUUUGUUCUUAAAAAAACUGAAACACAGGCUUUCCAGAAGAGCUUCCUGGAGCUGGAGGAUGGAAAUCAAAAAAUUCUCCCCAAAGUCCAUAACCUCAAAGUCAGCUUUCUGGCCUAUAAGCUAUUGUUUAAUCUAGAAGGUUUAAGUUCUGGUCAAGUUUUACAGUUUACAAUUUCUCAAGUUCUCUUAUGCACUUUGUGAGUCUGUUAUGUUUACAAUGCAUGAUGUUUCUGAUGCAUUUAAAGUGAAGCUGACUGUUAAGUGAGAAAUGCGACUCGUGGAAAAUUUUGCACAAUGUAAAUUUCAGUAGAAACCCAAAGUAACUGAAACUGAU